GGAACCCAGGGCCUUGCAAACACCAUACCCCUGAGCUGCAGCCCAGCCUUCUGUCAACCUCUGGAUGACCCAGACCUUUGCCACUAGGUAUCCCAGAAGGAUCUCGCUGCGGCGCCGGGACAGUUGCAGGAUGUCAUCCGCCAGCGCUGGCACCGAUGUGUAGCGCACAUUGUCCAGGUCAAACAUGUCCCUCAGGAUGUAUCACUAUUGGGUGGAAGUAAUGCCAGCACCGAGUGAGCAGAGCUGGGGAUCCACGCUGCAGAAAGGCCGGGCUCGCUCCUGGUGCUGGACCCAGUGAAAGGCAGUUCUAGGGUGCCCAGGAAGAAACCGCAGGCCCAGAAACUGAUGGGCAGGUGCCCAGCCCUGGUGCCCCAAGCAGUGAUGGCAUGAGAAGGGGUCAGGUGAGUUCCAGGAU